rnacentral:rRNA from 1 species
UAUCAGUCAUGCAUAGCAUAUCAAUAAGCGGAGGAAAAGAAACUAACAAGGAUUCCCUUAGUAACGGCGGAGUGAAGCGGGAAGAGCUCAAAUUUGAAAUCUUCAAGGUUUUACCUUGACGAAUUGUAGUUUAAAGAAGUGUUUUCUGUUGAAGUUUUGGUAAAAGUUCUUUGGAAGUAGGACAUCAUAGAGGGUGAGAAUCCCGUAUUUGACCAUUACUUUCAGCUUUGUGAUACACUUUCAAAGAGUCGGAUUGUUUGGGAAUGCAGUCCAAAAUGGGUGGUAAAUUUCAUCUAAAGCUAAAUAUUGGCGAGAGACCGAUAGCGAACAAGUACCGUGAGGGAAAGAUGAAAAGAACUUUGAAAAGAGAGUUAAACAGUACGUGAAAUUGUCAAAAGGGAAGCGUUUGACACCAGUGUUGUUUUCUCGAAAAUCAAUUAAAAAGAGUUGGAUUUUGUGUUGUAUUGACUUUAUCAGCUUUCUUCACUCUUUUCCAGCUUUUUUAAUGCACCUUUUCGUUUAACAAGUCAACAUCAGUUUCUUUUGUUGCUAAAAAGGUCAUUGGAAGGUGGCUUUCUCUUCGGAGAAAGUGUUUAUAGCCUUUGACUCAUGCAAUCGGAGAGACUGAGGUCUGCAGCGUAGAUCCUUCGGGGUUAGAUACAUUUGUGCUAAGUUAUAGCUUUUCAUAGACAACUUGUUGACUAUGUUUAGUCUUGUAGCUUACUCGCUUAUGCUAUUUUACCUACGCUUAGGAUGUUGAACUCUAUCACACACAG